rnacentral:rRNA from 1 species
UACGUAGGGUGCAAGCGUUAAUCGGAAUUACUGGGCGUAAAGCGUGCGCAGGCGGUUGUGCAAGACAGAUGUGAAAUCCCCGGGCUUAACCUGGGAACUGCAUUUGUGACUGCACAGCUAGAGUACGGCAGAGGGGGAUGGAAUUCCGCGUGUAGCAGUGAAAUGCGUAGAUAUGCGGAGGAACACCGAUGGCGAAGGCAGUCCCCUGGGCCUGUACUGACGCUCAUGCACGAAAACGUGGGGAGCAAACAGG